CUCAGGAUCUCUAUGCACAGAAGCUUACAGGAUCCCAUGGAAUGGAUCAGGCCCACGUGUGUAGGGAGAUGCAGCACUGUUUCUCCUUGGAGUUUGGGACUGAAGCAUAGAAAGAGCAAUCUUUUCCAGCCUGGUAUGCCAGCAAAAUCUUGGGCACAGCUGCAUUCUCUCUGCAGUUGCAGGAGUGUCUAUAAAUGCAGACAUGGAUUUGUCCCAAGGUAGCCUCUGCAAUAUGAGCAUGGUUACUGUGCCAUUCCCCACUCGCUUCAACCCAGAGAAAUUCCUGCUUUGUCAGAGCGUGGGGUCUCUCUCCCUGGCUGUCUCAGGAGAGGUUAAAUCUUACCUCUGGCACUUCAACCAAGAGCACCUAGAGGUCUACUGCAGAUAUUUGCCCCCAGCAAAAAGAAGGUUGAUUGUAGCUGUUUGUGCUGGUACUUCUGGGGCUGGGGUUGCUCAGGUGAAGCCCUUCUUGUGGGGAGGUCCUGGUCACUGGGCUAAAGUGAUAAAGGGAGCUAUCCCUGCCCUAAGGCUUUGGAAAGACUUGCAGGAAGGCUUGCCAAAGGUGCCUGGGAAGCGCUGGUUCUAGGAUGGAUGUGGACUUUGGGGCUCAGCUAUGUACAUUAGUCACUGCAAAACACCCAGCCUGCACUGAAGACAGAAAGCCCCAGUACUGAAAUGGGAAACUAGCUGCUAUCAGUGCAGGAGAACUCCAGGCUAAAAGACGAUCUCUGGAAUGAGAGGCACACAGGGAGAGCACUCCCAGGGGUAGCAGGAUUAACCACAAAGACUGGCUUCCGGGCACUUCCUGAGCUGUUUGGCUGCGGAGAUCCAGCUUCCAGAGGGAACGAUUUGAUCGCUGAGUGAAGUGCAGGGUGGAGGGGUCUGCCACAUGAGCUUAUGCUGAUGGCACCACUUCAAGGACCAGAAUUGCUCUUCCUCACCUCUGGGCUCCUUGAGGACUUGGAGUCACCCUUUGCACAGGUAUUUGAGCUUCAGUGGGCACAACUCACAAAAGUCUGGUGGUUUGGCCAACUUGCAGUGUCAAAUUAUAAAUGAGGGAUUGUAAAAGCUGGCCUGUACUUUGGUUGUGUGAGAUGCGGACCUGUUGAUAACAGGGGCUGGGAGUGGAGGAAGAGGAAGCAGUUUUCAGGCAGUGUGAAAGGCCAGCAUCAGUCCCCCUACUGAGUACAUUUCAGAGGACAAUCUUAGAUUUCUCUGAUUGUUUUCUAAUUCCUAGUUCAUUUGAAAGAACAACAUCUUCACAAGCAUGGGACUUCCUUGCUAGAUCUUCAGACACCACUAAUAUUUCUGUUUCUGAAGGGCCAUACACAGGCUCAGAGGGAGUUUAAACUGAUGCCACUUGCCUUAUUUUGGCAGAGACCACCAGCUAGCACAGCAGGUCUGCCCAAGAAAAUCUAAUACAAGAAAACAGGUACUCUGAAAACUAAGGGGGAAGGAGGGAUCUGGAUUGCAAAGGAGUUUUGAAGCAGAUUAAUCCCUCAAUAGCCACCGUCUGUUUGAGCUGUAACUACUAGGUGAUGUUCCUAGAAGUCUGUCUUGGUUGAGAUCAAAUGGAUUGGUUUUGAUUGUGAGAGAACCUUCCAUAUCAAAGUUGGAUCUGACCCUCUGCCAAAAGUUGGUUUUGCAACUAAAACCAAGGUCAGAUGCAGAAAAAUCACUGUGCACAUUAGUUGCAGAUGUAUAGCUGAACUGUUUCAAGAAACUGGCUUGUAGCCUUUCAUGUUCUGCAGAAAUUACACGUUGGUGCCUCAGGGCUAUCUGAUAGCACUGCAUUGCCUUGGAGUUGUA